CUGGUGAUGCCUGUUGAUGUUAGGUAGGCAGCUACAGUAGCUGAAUGAUGUUAACAUCUUCAGGUUUUGUUUCAUUAAAUGUAUUUUAUUUUAUCUGGGUGCUUACGUCACCUACUAACACCCUGGUACUACCCAUAGAUCCCGCUCUCCUCAGUCUGAGAAAACACUGAGAGAGAAAGAACAACUUGUCAGGUGGUGCAUUGGAGACUGAUGUGUUCCUGUCCUGUCUUUUCAUAAUACUAUUGCAGAUCAACAUAAAAGCCUUAAAGACAGCCUCUUCAUUUCUUGGUUCUCCUGUGGUGCAUAAGAGACCCGCUACAUAACUAUGGAUUAUUUGGAACCAAAACAACAUUGGGUGUUGAAGUAGAAGUCCUGGGAGUGCAUUCUGACGAAGAACAGCAAAGCAGGAGGUGGAGGCCACCCAAGACGAGGCCGUAAAUAUCAAGAUAUGUGAGGUGAUUUAGGACAGUCAGAGCAGGGGGGAGACCCAGAGGGAGAGAGAAAACAAAGAGGCGAGACUGUGGUGAUGAUGACUGCAGGUAGAUUGCACCAAAGAGGUUGGAGGAUCACCAUCAAGGGGGGUCUGACCUGGAAUGGCCGUCCGGAGUCCAGCAGAGCAAAGGGCCAGAGGCAAUAAAUAAGCUUUACGGCAGGAGGAGCAUGUGGUCAGGUCAUCCUUCUCCCCCCCUUCCCCUCUCCUCUCCUCCUUAAUCCCAUCCUGUCCGUCUCCUCCUCCUCUUCCCCUAGCCUGUAAUUACUCUGUAUCUAAUACCACGUGGAAAUGCCAACAGAUGCCCACUGUCUAAGACAGGCAUUAUGUGCUUAGUGGAUGUCCUGUUAAUGCUGGUUUCUACCAGGCCGCUGAUUAUGACCACAUUGUAUUGGGGUGUGAUGGGGACAACAGGUUGACAACGUUAUGGCUCCAUGCUCCCCACGGUUAAAACAAAACAUAACAAGGCGGUGGCUACAGCCUGAGUUGAACAUCUGUGUAUUUGUGGGGCCAGAGGAACUGAUUGAUUAAUGCAUGUGGAAGAAAUAUUCAAAAGUCAUUUGAGGAAAACAUAUUUCUGUUCACAGCCAAAUUCCUCGUAUCCAUUCUGUGGUUGAAGGCUGCUGAAACUCUUAUAUUGAUGGGAUAUUGAGGGAUUUUUAAAAAUCAUGCUGAGUAGCAACAAUGGUCUCCUUUUGUGACAUGUAUUUUGUGACAUGUUACUCAUCAAGAAUUCAAAACCUGAGAAGCCCAGGACUUCAUUUGCCAUCAGAGUAUAUGUCAAUCACUGUGACUCUGGGAGAAAGUGGUUUGUCAGGGCCUGAGGGGGCCACACUGACCUAAAUACAAAACUGUCGACAGCAACACAUUGACCAUCUAAAAAAGGGCACAUGGGAAAUAAAUAGUCAAGAACUAACCAAGUCUCCAAAUCAA
rnacentral:lncRNA from 1 species